rnacentral:rRNA from 1 species
UAGAGAGGUCUCAAGCGUUGUUCGGAUUCAUUGGGCGUAAAGGGUGCGUAGGUGGUUGGGUAAGUCAAAUGUGAAAUCCUGGAGCUCAACUCCGGAACUGCAUUCGAUACUGCCCGGCUCGAGGAUUGGAGAGGAGACUGGAGUUCACGGUGUAGCAGUGAAAUGCGUAGAGAUCGUGAGGAACACCCGUGGCGAAGGCGGGUCUCUGGACAAUUCCUGACACUGAGGCACGAAGGCCAGGGGAGCAAACGGG